rnacentral:rRNA from 1 species
AUUGAACGCUGGCGGCAGGCCUAACACAUGCAAGUCGAGCGAGCGGCGGACGGGUGAGUAAUGUCUGGGGAUCUGCCCGAUAGAGGGGGAUAACUACUGGAAACGGUGGCUAAUACCGCAUACCAUCGGAUGUACCCAUAUGGGAUUAGCUAGUAGGUGGGGUAACGGCUCACCUAGGCGACGAUCCCUAGCUGGUCUGAGAGGAUGACCAGCCACACUGGAACUGAGAAACGGUCCAGACUCCUACGGGAGGCAGCAGUGGGGAAUAUUGCACAAUGGGCGCAAGCCUGAUGCAGCCAUGCCGCGUGUAUGAAGAAGGCCUUCGGGUUGUAAAGUACUUUCAGCGGGGAGGCGUUACCCGCAGAAGAAGCACCGGCUAACUCCGUGCCAGCAGCCGCGGUAAUUC